rnacentral:lncRNA from 1 species
AAAUAUAUUGUUAAUGUAUUGUCAUAUUUUUUAAAUGUUGCCGAACCCCAGGAAGAGUAGCUCCUGCAGUAGCUAAUGGGGAUCCAUACAUAAAUAUAUCAUAAAUACAAUUACCUCUAAUACCUCUGGGAUUUUGUCCUCUCUUAUCUCUGAUCACAGACUUCUAAUACCUCUUGGAUGAUGUCCUCUUUGCAGGCGAGGACCAUGUACUUCUUCAUGCGACCUCAUCAACAACCUGAAAGAGUGGAAGUAUUGGUUUCCAUCCAGGUAAUAUCUAGCCCUGUCCAGGGGACCAGACCCAUAGACUGGAGGUAUUAGUUUCCAUCCUGGCCAGAGGACCAGACCCAUAGACUGGAGGUAUUAGUUUCCAUCCUGGCCAGGGGACCAGACCCAUAGACUGGAGGUAUUAGUUUCCAUCCUGGCCAGGGGACCAGACCCAUAGACUGGAGGUAUUAGUUUCCAUCCUGGCCAGGGGACCAG